rnacentral:antisense_RNA from 1 species
AAUAUCCAAAUAUUACUCCAGGGUUAAGAGUGAUAUUUGUGAUUUUUCUUACAUCUCCGCCACCAGGUGCCCAAGUAUCAUACAAACCACCAAAAUAUAGUGCUUUGAAUACAAGCAAAAAUGCACCAGCACCUAAUAAAAUAAGAUGAAUACCCAAUAUGGUGGUCAUCUUGUUUUUAUCUUUCCA